AAUUGUACUUUUUCUCCUCUCCUUAUUAUUUCAACCAACAGUCUAGAGAUUAUAGAAAAGAAUGGCUUCAAAACGACUAAAAUCUUUAUUUUGUGGUUGUUUUCCACGACUUCGACGAAAGAGAAAAAACAAGAUUUCCAUUGAAGAACGCGUAAUCGAAGAGCAGAAGAGCAAUGCGGAGUCUGAGAAACAUCUUCAGAUUCCCAUUGAAGAACCUGUCGUAGAACAGAAGAACAAUGAGGAAUCUGAGAAACAACUUCAG